UAAAGCUCCGGCGGAGACGGAUUGGCUCGCGUGACAUUAGCUGGACGGCGGGGUAACGGCCCACCGUGGCUACGAUGUCUAGGGGUUCUGAGAGGAAGGUCCCCCACACUGGAACUGAGACACGGUCCAGACUCCUACGGGAGGCAGCAGUGAGGAAUAUUGGUCAAUGGGCGGGAGCCUGAACCAGCCAUGCCGCGUGAAGGCGAGUGCCCUACGGGCGUUAAACUUCUUUUGUGCGGGAGCAAUAAGGGCCACGCGUGGCCCGAUGAGAGUACCGCACGAAUAAGCAUCGGCUAACUCCGUGCCAGCAGCCGCGGUAAUACGGGGGAUGCGAGCGUUAUCCGGAUUUAUUGGGUUUAAAGGGUGCGUAGGCGGCGCUUCAGGUCAGCGGUGAAAUACCGGGGCUCAACCCCGGGGCUGCCGUUGAAACCGGAGCGCUAGAAUUCCGAUGCCGUCGGAGGAAUGCGUGGUGUAGCGGUGAAAUGCAUAGAUAUCACACAGAACACCGAUUGCGAAGGCAUCUGACGAAUCGGAGAUUGACGCUGAUGCACGAAAGCGUGGGUAUCGAACAGGAUUAGAUACCCUGGUAGUCCACGCUGUAAACGAUGAUGACUAGCCGUCGGCGAUACAGUGUCG
rnacentral:rRNA from 1 species